rnacentral:rRNA from 1 species
GGCUCUUUGAAAUAAAUACAUAAAGAGUCGAACCUGCCCAGUGAUUUAUUUAAACGGCCGCGGUACUCUGACCGUGCAAAGGUAGCAUAAUCAUUUGCCCUAUAAUUGAGGGCUUGUAUGAACGGUUUGACAAGAGCAUAACUGUCUCUUAAAAAUUUUAUAGAAUUUGGUUUUUAGGUGAAGAAACCUAAAUAUAAUUGAAAGACAAGAAGACCCUAUCGAGCUUUAGAGUAAUUAAUUAAAAAGUAUGAUUAAAAUAAUUAAUUUUAGUUAAAAACUUUGGUUGGGGCGACUGAGGAACAUAUAAAGCUUCUUUUAUUAAAAUAUGCCUAUAAGCUAUGAUCCAAAAAAUUUGAUUAAAAAAUUAGUUACCGUAGGGAUAACAGCAUAAUCUUUUUCAAGAGUUCUUAUCGAAAAAAAGGUUUGUGACCUCGAUGUUGGACUAGGAUAUCUUAAAGAUGCAGAAGUCUUUAAAAGUUGGUCUGUUCGACCAUUAAAAUCCU